GGCCCCAUCGUCUAGCCCGGUCCAGGACACAAGAUUUUCAUUCUUGCAACAGGGGUUCGAAUCCCCUUGGGGUCA
rnacentral:tRNA from 1 species